AUUGAACGCUGGCGGCAUGCCUUCCACAUGCAAGUCGAACGGUAACAGGUCUUCGGGCGCUGACGAGUGGCGAACGGGUGAGUAAUACAUCGGAACGUGCCUAGUAGUGGGGGAUAACUACUCGAAAGAGUGGCUAAUACCGCAUGAGAUCUACGGAUGAAAGCAGGGGAUCGCAAGACCUUGUGCUACUAGAGCGGCCGAUGGCAGAUUAGGUAGUUGGUGGGAUAAAAGCUUACCAAGCCGGCGAUCUGUAGCUGGUCUGAGAGGACGAUCAGCCACACUGGGACUGAGAAACGGCCCAGACUCCUACGGGAGGCAGCAGUGGGGAAUUUUGGACAAUGGGCGCAAGCCUGAUCCAGCAAUGCCGCGUGCAGGUUGAAGGCCUUCGGGUUGUAAACUGCUUUUGUACGGAACGAAAAGCCCCGGGUUAAUACCCUGGGGUCAUGACGGUACCGUAAGAAUAAGCACCGGCUAACUACGUGCCAGCCGCCGCCGUAA
rnacentral:rRNA from 1 species